CCUACGGGGGGCAGCAGUCGAGAAUCAUUCACAAUGGGGGAAACCCUGAUGGUGCGACGCCGCGUGGGGGAAUGAAGGUCUUCGGAUUGUAAACCCCUGUCAUGUGGGAGCAAAUUAAAAAGAUAGUACCACAAGAGGAAGAGACGGCUAACUCUGUGCCAGCAGCCGCGGUAAUACAGAGGUCUCAAGCGUUGAUCGGAAUCACUGGGCGUAAAGCGUGCGUAGGCGGUUUCGUAAGUCGUGUGCGAAAGGCGCGGGCUAAACCGGCGAACGGCACAUGAUACUGCGAGACUGGAGUAAUGGGGGGGGAACGGGAAUUCUCGGUGUAGCAGUGAAAUGGG
rnacentral:rRNA from 1 species